AUUAAAUUCCAUGUAACAAUGGAAAAUUUCUCCUGAGAAACAAAUUAACAUUAUAACCAAGGAAAAAGGGGGAUUUGAAUUUGAUCUCAGAAACAAGAUAAAUGAAGAUAAUUACAUUCAUUAGACAUAAACAUAACAGCUUACAAAGAUUAAUUUUCGGGAAAAUUAGAUGAAGAUGGUUCAAAAAGAAAAUACAGUUCAUAGACAAAUUUGAUGAACAAACCAACUGCUACCCACUCUCCGGAAGCCAAAAGGAAUCCUUCUUGUCUGUACACAAAAGUCGCAGGUUUUUCUUUUUCUUUCUUUUCGCCGGUGCCACAAAACAGAGAUACUUGAAAUCUCUCUCCCCAUCUACUAUUUACAGAGGAGUAAUUUCCAAAGUUCCAAAUUCUUCAACUUCAUAUUCACAGAGUCAGAAAGAAGAAUCGAUGCCACCGAAAUUAAUUUCCCAUUACAAAACAACAAAAGGAAUGAAAUUCCAUGCUGAAUCGACUCGGCUUCACUUCACCAGCUCAGAAACCCACCCAACGUCUGGUGCUGAAGCGGCCGGGUUAGACCCGUUCAUCGAGUUUUCUUUACUGAGCUUUGCGUAUAUCUUUGCCCUCAAGUCCCUUCCAGAUUCCACCCUCUCCAUUGCAGGCUCUUCCCCCAAACUAGAGUCCCAAAUGUCCAGCUGACCGAAUCCGGGACGACUAAUGAUCCGGGUGGGGGUCGAAGGAAGACUGCAAAAGCCGGGACGUAGAGACGAUCCACGAGGCGACUCAAACCCGGAUCCGUUCUGCAUGCUCCAGGAUGCUGGUCCCACUUUCGUCUUACCAAGCUGCAAACCCCGCAUAGACGCAACGAGCUCGCUCAUCGGGUUAAAGGACCCACCAACCACCUGGGGGCUACUCGGCGAAAUUGGCGGCGAAUCAGACUGCGGCGACACAGGCGGUGAUAUUAAAAUCGAGGUGGGUGAAGAAAGAAAAGACCCACCCUUAGUCAAGUACGAGUCAAAAUGGUGCCUCAGAGAUGAGCCAACCUCCAUAUCACCCGAUCCGGACCCGUUUCCCCUCGGGCUCUGCGGAGGCAAAACCCGAAGCUGAUCCGGAGUAUGAGCAAAGAAACAAACCCGACGGCGACAAGCUGGACCAUCCUUGCAUGGUUGGGUACGAUAUCGAGCCGGAUGAAGCCAACACUCAAAAACACCAUGUGCAAACUCGCAUGAGUCACCUUUCUUGCACCCACCUUUGCGAAAGUCUGGGCAGGCCGUACCGGAGUAAUGAUACCUGCGUGGGUCCCGGCGGCGAGCCUUCUCCCCAGGAUGAGCGUACGGACAUUCUGUCCAAUCAUGUGACCUCCCACGUGCGCAGCGCCUCACCUUGAACUCGUACAUGCGAAAAUGAUCGCAGGAGAAGGCAUCCACAGGCAAGUCCAGGUCAUCGCUCAACGAGUCAGGCUCGUUUGAUGGAAGGUACCGGUGGAGCGCCGUUAAGGAGUCGAGAAAAGGCGAACUGGCAUUCCCGCAUUUCGCAAACGGUGACAGUAAGGGUGACGUUGGCUCGUCGAUAAAAGGGUCCCAAGCAGGGAUUUGGACAGUCGGAUUUGAAUGCUGAGAUUCUCCGAUCAUCAUUUUUGCA
rnacentral:misc_RNA from 1 species